rnacentral:rRNA from 2 species
GGGUUGUGAGGUUAAGCGACUAAGCGUACACGGUGGAUGCCCUGGCAGUCAGAGGCGAUGAAGGGCGUGCUAAUCUGCGAUAAGCGCCGGUAAGGUGAUAUGAACCGUUAUAACCGGCGAUACCCGAAUGGGGAAACCCAGUGUGACUCGUCACACUAUCAUUAACUGAAUCCAUAGGUUAAUGAGGCGAACCGGGGGAACUGAAACAUCUAAGUACCCCGAGGAAAAGAAAUCAACCGAGAUUCCCCCAGUAGCGGCGAGCGAACGGGGAGGAGCCCAGAGCCUGAAUCAGCAUGUGUGUUAGUGGAAGCGUCUGGAAAGGCGCGCGAUACAGGGUGACAGCCCCGUACACAAAAGCGCAUAUGCUGUGAGCUCGAUGAGUAGGGCGGGACACGUGGUAUCCUGUCUGAAUAUGGGGGGACCAUCCUCCAAGGCUAAAUACUCCUGACUGACCGAUAGUGAACCAGUACCGUGAGGGAAAGGCGAAAAGAACCCCGGCGAGGGGAGUGAAAAAGAACCUGAAACCGUGUACGUACAAGCAGUGGGAGCACCCUUUUGGGUGUGACUGCGUACCUUUUGUAUAAUGGGUCAGCGACUUAUAUUCUGUAGCAAGGUUAACCGAAUAGGGGAGCCG